CCUAGACACCACGCCGCCACCCUUUCCACGUGGGUCCCAGCCACCUCCCUGCUCUACUCCUGCCUGCCUGCAUGAGUGGGUCCCCCAGGAUCUCUCUGAUUCCCAGCCCCUCAUUCGCUGCAGCCAUAUGGCUUCCCUCCUGCUGCCUUGAACAUGCCAAGCACCCAUCUCACUCCCUCCUUCCAUUUACGUCUCUGUUCAAACGCUUCCUUUGCCCGAGGGUGUCCACUUUACCCCACCCGGCAGGCUCUGUUCCUCUGCUCUGCCAACCUUCCUUCUUGGAGCCCAGCAUCACCUGACAUAUUCUAUAUCACAUUUUCGGUAUUUCCUGCCCCUGCCUCUUCGUGAGAAUGCAAGCGCCACGAGGAAAGGAAGUUUGGUUCAUUUUAUUCCCUGCUGUGUCUCCAGAACAUCGAGUGGUUCCCUGCGCGGAGACUUUCUCAAUGAACAUCUGGGGCAGGAAUCAGUGAACAGGGUCACUUUCUCCAGGAAGCCUUCCCUGAAUGCCUGCCUGUAGAACCAUCGCAUGGCUCUCCUCUUCCCUUCCCUGUGUAAUCAAGGAUACCACACAAGCCUUGAGCACUGAACUUACGGAAUUGGGCCUGACUCUGGGAUCACGUGUGCACCAUCUCAAGGCAGAGCUGGAUCCAAACCCAGGCCUUAGCGCAGGCCUGCCUUGGUAGAAGGCGCACUUCAAGAAAUCUGGCCUCGGCCAAAUUGAUCAUAGUCACGAAGUAUGUAGCUGGAUAUGCUAAUUCUAUAUUGCCAAUGUGCCUUCAUAAACACACAACCCAGGGAAGAAGAGCGGAGGUCUUUCGGCGACUAUCUAAUUCCAGGAUCUGGUCACAGCUGUGAAUCUUGCGGUUCCAGCUGCCUCGAGAGCUCUCAGGGGGCAGGGACCAGGCUGGGCCCCCACCCGGCACGGAACCUGGGACUCGGCACACAGCCAGCCACCCUGGUGACAGCCUCAGGGGCAACUGUCCCAACUCAGCAACCUGCUUCCCACGACCCCAACCGCCCCUUGUGCCUGCCCACUGGGGCCCACACCGGGUAGGAGGGGGGAGGGGGGAGGGAGAGGACAGGGCUCCAGCCUGCAGUGCAGGCGCACUCAGGCACAUCCGUUCUCCUUCAGGGGACCUUCCUUGAGGGUCCCAUUCUCCCUGCCUGCUCUCCUUAGGGCUUCCUCAACCUGGGGGGUGGGGUGUGGAUCGCAGUCUGGGGUGCUCAGGGGCGAGCCUACACGGUGAGAAGUUAGGAGCCUUCAGCCCUGAGGCCUGGGCCAUCUUCCUGCUGGGGCCACAAGGUCGGCAGCAUAGGGCUGGGCCUUGGAAAUACAAUAAAGGAAAUGGGAAGAAGCGGUGGGGGCGGGUGGGGCGGGCGCGGGGGGGUUGGGGAGGGGCGCGUCCAGGCUUCCAGGGCCUGGAGCUUAUACUAGUUUAGGGUUCUCUUCAGAAAUGUAUAUAGAAUUACAAAUACAUAUUUAUUUUUUCUUUAAUUUUUAAAAUACAUUUAUUGAUUGUUGAGAGAGCACAA